AGACUUAGAGUUGAAAGCUCUGGGCUUCAGGAGCCCCUGGGCUCAAGACUGGCUUCUGUGAGAAUAUGGGCAAGUCAAGAAACUCAAGAUCUGACCGUGUCCUCUCCUAUAGGAGCUUCGGCAACUCUCUGAGCUGGGGAUCCUAUUACCAUUCCAGUUCUCACUGGGUGAAUAGAGAGUUGCGGCCCUGGAGAACAUCUUCGAGAUGACUUGUUGGACAAAUUUACAUAAUGGAAUCACAGACUUCUAGAACUGGCAGGGGCCUCAGAAGCAACUACUCCAGCUCAUUCCUGAAAAUGCUGCCUCUCUACAAUAUAUCCAAGAGGAGAGCUAGCCACUGCUGGAAGCCACUCUCUAAACAGCUCAUUCCACUUUUGGACAGCUCUCAUUGUUAGGAUAUUUUCUUCCUGAUAUAAAUUCUAAAUGGCCUCUGUAACUUCCAUAUGUUACACCGGGUUCAUCCUUUUGGGACCCAGUAGAAAGUCUCAUUCCUCUUCCACGUGACAGCCCUCCAAAUAUUUGAAGACAACUACCACAUUUCCCUUAGGUCUUCUCUAGGUUAAACAUUCCGCUUUUUUCGGUUGGUAUUCACAUGGCAUGAGCUCUCAAGUACCAGUUCCAACAGGGAGCAUAUCCUGAUCUCCCUAGUUACUAUGCCCUCCACCCAGAGAAAGUACUUUGUAUGUGCUUUAUAUAUACUUUUCUGGGCUGUCUUCCCCAAUUACAAUGUUGAGUUCUUGAGGUGGGAGGGAUUAUUUCCCUUCUGUCUUUGUAACCCCAGCCCCUAACACUGUGACCACUCCUUAGUAGGCAGAUAAUAAAUGCUUGAUGAAGUAUGAGUGAAUGAACUUCCCAAUUUCAUCAGCAUUUUGAAGAUUUGUUUGCUUAUAUUCCAUAGCAUCAACCCUGUUUAGAGGGCUCAUGGCAGAAACAGCCACAUCUUGGGAAAAAAAAACUGGGACUAUGUUCACUUUUAUUUAUUGAUAAAACAACCUUGAGGCAACUGAACAUGACUUAUGCUUCCUGCAGAUUAGGGGCAUCUAGAGCAGACAUUUUCAAAAACCAGCUUCUGAAAUACUCAGGAGGUUGAGUCUUCAGAUAGGGGUGGCAAUAAUUUAUUUGAACUGUUGUAACCAAAAUGCAGCUUGACUUUCUCUGCCUUUGGCUGAUGAAACCAAUCCUAUUUUUUUCAUAUGUUCAGUGACCAUCUAGAGUGUUUGCCCGAUGUAGAAAAAUCAAGCCCUUCCUACUAGGGAGUCACUGUUUUUACAUAUAAUCUACUUUUAAUGUUUUUCUUUGUGUGUAGAAAUGUUCUUGUUUGUUGGUGUUGGUCAAUUUCAGAAUAAGAAAAAGUUGAAAAAUAAAAAUAAAAAAGAAAUGAGUUCAGGUGGGGCUGAUCACAGGACUGAUUUCAGUCAUAAGUGUUAAUAACCCCCCUGGAAAGUUACAAGUAAUUCAUUCAUCUCUGCCACCAUAGAAUAGAAAUGUAAUGCAGCUAAUUUAAAAUUAUUAAUGUGACAAGCCUCUUGACUGAUCACAUUAGGACUUAUGAAUACCAUUUCUAUGUACUGUUUUGGUGAAAGUUUUGUAUAUUAGGGUAGUGAGAACUGAUUAUUAUGACUAAAAGAUGAAUGUGUAUAGGAUAUAGUUAUACCCAAGAUUAUAUUUUGACAGCACUUUAAAGUUUAGGUUUACGAAGUGAUUUAAAUCAAUCAACAGAAAAACAUUCAUGCAGGAUCUACUGUGUACCAGGUACUACACUUUCCUCAUUAACAGAAUUGCAGUAAUGCUGUUAAUAUCAGUUUUAUAGUGGAUAGAAGCAGAUCUUGAACUCAGAAAGACCCAGGUUCAAGUCUUACCUCUGGUUCAGGAUGGCUGUGUGACCCUGGGGAAGCUCCCUAACCUCUCAGUGCCCUAGGCAAUUCUAGGGCAUCUCUCUAGUUGCAGAGCAGGUCCUGGAUAACCAUUGAUAGGGGGAAUUCCUUACCAGGAUUCCGCAUAUCAAGAAGGUAGAUACUAUAAGUAUUACUAUCCUCUCCGUUUUACAGAUGAGGAAAAUGAGGUACUGAGAGGUUGACUUGCCCAGGGUUAAGCAGGUAGUAAGUAGAUGUCAGAUCCAAGUCUUUCUCACUCCAGGUCUAAUUGUUCCCUCCCCUCCCCCAGUGUAAUACCUAAGGGACUCUCACCCCUUCAUUGAAAGCUAAAAGGGAAUUUUAGGAUCAUUUAUGUCAUAAUCCCUGAUUCUGGACAGGUGUAAACCUCAAAUAGACUAUAAUAAUUGUCUACCUCUAGUUUUGAAAAUCUCUAGAGGAGUUCAAAGAAUGGUGUGGCGGAAAGAGCAGAAGAUUUGGGGUCAGAAGACCUGAAUUCAAAACCUUGCUCUCCCACUUACUGGUAUAUGACCUUAAGUAAGUCAUUUCCCUUCUCUGGGGUUCAGUUUCCUCAUUUGUAAAACAAAAAGUUUGGGUUGUAUGACCUCCAAGUUCCCUUCCAACUCUGAAUCUGUGUUCUUAAUGCCAGGUCAGAGGCUUUAAUUUUUUUUUAAAGGUAUGCUAGAUGGAGAAGAAUUUGGAACUAUGCCCAUAGGGCAACCAAACUG